rnacentral:lncRNA from 1 species
AGUGUUAGAAAGUGCUUCUUGCUGGUUAUGUUAUUAGCAGUGUUACAGCAGUAAAGAUUUUUCCAGCGAUUCUAGUAGAUUGGAAAAGCAUGAUUUUCCUCUGCAUAAUCCAGCUUUUUUUCUGUGAUGAAUAAUUUUACACUGUAAUUUCAGUUACUUUUAAAAGUAUCAGUGGGACUACAAUACUUGGUAGUUCUCUGAACUGCUUCAAGCCGUGAGCUAGAUUUGAUUUGUGAAGGUUAAUUAAAAAUUAUCAAAAUGUAUUAAAAAAUUAAGAGGUAAUCUUUGAAAUUAUUCCAGUAUAUGAACAUCAACUGGCAGCUAAUUGAAGUAUUGUGAGCUUAUCUGUGAUAAACCUGGCAGUCAGUUCCCAGAACCCAAAGCAUUAGAGCAGCCCCCAGCUGACUUGUGGUAAGUUGGACCACGGUUGUUAUCACAGAACUUGAUUUCCAAGGUAACCAGACCUGACAGACUCUCAGACCUGGAACUCAUGGUGCUGCAGGUCCCUGGUGCUGUUUUGUAACUUGUUCCCAAACCUCUUUGUUAGUACAUACCUUUUAAACCAGUGAUGGAUUAGGUUUUGAGGCCACAAUAAUUAAAUGGCUGCUAAGUGCUAAUUAAAGUCUAAGCCUGAAAGAGGAGUUAUGGGAUCAACAUACCAGAAUCUGAGCCAAAACUUCCUACUAGAAAUAAAUGAGUUCCUGAGGAAUGGAGAUGAGUGCUCCUGCUGUGCUCCCGAGGAAAAAGGAGGAGCCCUGAGACAGGCAGUAACAACACUUUAAAUAAAACCAAUGUAUUCAAC